UCUUUGCGAUUUCAUCUCUUGGCUCGGUUUUCGCAUGGGGAGCAAAUAAUUUUGGCCAGCUAGGACUGGGAACGGAUCAAGAUACGAAUAUUCCAACCAAAAUAUCAGGAAUUUUGGAGGGAAAAAAGGUUGUGCAGGUUGCCUGUGGUGUUAACCAUAGCGUGGCUCUUACAUCAGAUGGACAGGUCUUUGCUUUUGGUAACAAUCACAACGGCGGGCAAUCAGGACGGGCAAACAACGUUAACACUCGACGAAUUGCCGACGAAUUUUUGGGACAUGUAGGACGGGAAAACAAUGCUAGCACUCAUAUGCCAGCAAGAGUUGACGGCCCUCUGGCGGGGAAGUUUGUGACCGCGAUUGCUUGCCAAAAUAAUAUACCCGUAGCACUCCUUGAUUCCGGAGAGGUAACGAUCGUUUAAUGUACAUGGAAAGGUAAUAAGGAAUAUAUAAGAGAAACGCCACAUUAAUUCAGGUUCUGAUACUAUGCGCUCUCAAAUUUUUGUUGAACAGCGGCAGUUAAAAUACAUACAUGGGUCUUUGCUUGUUGAGCAACAAUUAAGAAAGGGCAUGCGAUCUAAACCUUCAAAAUCCAUAUUGUGACGUUUCUUUUUACCCUCUACAAGGUCUAUCAAACUUAGAAAAAUUUUAAUAUAUUCUUUUAAGGUCGUAGUUUGGGAUUGGAAAACUAUAGACCCCACGAACAGAGAUAGAUUUAUCCCAGAUAUCCCGUCUGGAUUGGGACGAGGAGUGACGAUUUCAAAAAUCACUUGUGGCCCUAAGUUCACGUUUGCUUUCUCUACCGACGGAAAAAUCUAUUUUUUGGAAAACCAACGAAUGUUCGGAGGUUUUUUGCCGGAGAUAAUUGCUUCAGCUAUAGGCAGGGUUAUUGAUAUUGUUUCUUCUUCUGAUGUAAUUGCUGCAUUAACUGAAUCGAAUCAAAUUUACAUCUGGAGACCUACUUACUCGGCACGUGAGAGUUUUAUUAAUUUUUUAGAACAGAGAAAAUACACAAUUUGUUAAAGAUAAAUUGAUAAUGUGUCCAACGGUCACUUCUUUCUCGUCACUGGAUGAAGUUUUCGCUCCAAACACAUUCCGACCUCUGCGACCAAAUGAAGCUUUGCCAAAAGAACAAAUGAUGACAGACGCACCCAACGUAAAAAAUGAACAACUCACGAAAACACUUCAUUAUUGUGUCAAACAGGCGUUCAAUGAUUUGGAAACUGCUGAUUUUGUGUCCGUUGUUGACGGAAAGAAAAUCCACGUUCACAAAACGAUUCUGAUGCUCCGCUGUGUCGUCUUCAAGACAAUGUUUCUGGGUGAUUGGAAAGAGUGUCACGCAAACGAGCAUACGAUCGAGGGGCACAGUUUCGACGCUGUCUAUGCACUCUUGAAAUAUUUCUACACUGACGAGCUUGAUGUGCAGCCAGAA